GAGGGUAUAGCUCAGUGGUAGACCAUGUGCUUAGCAUGCAUGAGGUCCUGGGUUCAAUCCUCAAUACCUCCA
rnacentral:tRNA from 1 species